UAGUAUUCAAUUGUCAGAGGUGAAAUUCUUGGAUUUAUUGAAGACUAACUACUGCGAAAGCAUUUGCCAAGGAUGUUUUCAUUAAUCAAGAACGAAAGUUAGGGGAUCGAAGACGAUCAGAUACCGUCGUAGUCUUAACCAUAAACUAUGCCGACUAGGGAUCGGAUGAUGUUAAUUCUUUAAUGACUCA
rnacentral:rRNA from 1 species